UACGGGGGGGGCAAGCGUUGUUCGGAAUUACUGGGCGUAAAGGGCGAGUAGGUGGCCAUCUAAGUCAGACGUGAAAUCCCCCGGCUUAACCUGGGAACUGCGUCUGAUACUGGCAGGCUUGAAUCCGGGAGAGGGAUGCGGAAUUCCAGGUGUAGCGGUGAAAUGCGUAGAUAUCUGGAGGAACACCGGUGGCGAAGGCGGCAUCCUGGACCGGUAUUGACGCUGAGGCGCGAAAGCCAGGGGAGCAAACGGG
rnacentral:rRNA from 1 species